GACGAACGCUGGCGGCGUGCUUAACACAUGCAAGUCGAACGGAAAGGCCUUUUCGGGGUUCCUCGAGUGGGUAACGGGCGGGUAACACGUGGGUGAUCUACCCUGCACUUUGGGAUAAGCCUGGGAAACUGGGUCUAAUAACUGAUAGGAACGCGCUUUAGUGUGUGUGGUUGAAAGUUUUUGCGGUGUAGGAUGAGCUCGCGGCCUAUCAGCUUGUUGGUGGGGUAAUGGCCUACCAAGGCGGCGACGGGUAGCCGGACUGAGAGGUUGGUCGGCCACAUUGGGCCUGAGAGACGGACCAGACGCCAACGGGAGGCAGUAGUGGGGAGUAUUGCACAAUGGGCGCAAGCCUGAUGCAGCGACUCCGCGUGGGGGAUGACGGCCUUCGGGUUGUAAACGAGUGUCGCCAGGGACGAAGCGUUUUGUGACGGUACCUGGAGAAGAAGCACCGGCUAACUACGUG
rnacentral:rRNA from 1 species